GUUUAUUUAGAUGAAUCAUUGUACGACUUGUAGUACAGUACAUUCUUUUAACCCUGAUAUGGGAGUCGCAAAAUUAUUAAUAUAAAUGGCAAAGUAGUAGCUAAUUAAUUUACAGCAAUUCUACUUUUUUAAAACGACCUUAUUCCCAUUUAAAGCUGUAGCGGAACGUAGGGCAAGCAAAAAAUCGCCGUCCAAACUCACCUGGGCCAUCCCAGUGGGCAUUGUUGGUGCAAUAUUCUUUAUUGGCAUGGCUAUAUUACUCGUUCACUUUGUUCGCAAAUCUCAUCGACUUCAAGGAUCUAUGUACGCUCUGCUGAGGCGAAAUGGYCAAGGAACCGAGGGAGAAGUUACUUUCCAUUCUGAUGAAGACGAUCCGUUGAUCACUGGAUUCUCUGAUGACGUUCCUCUUGUGACUGCAUAGACCACGCUUGUAUUUUUUAUAACGUUAAGAGCUUUUUAAAGAUAGUAAACUUUGCAAGAUGCCUCUACGGUUGCAUUCGAGCCCAAGUUAAUGUUACUACCAAKUUCUUUUGGUUAAUUCAUGAUAGAAUUGUUGUAGACGUCUGGCCAAUCGACCCGAAUGCACACCUUGAAAAAACGUGAUGGUGACUCCUAAAACCACGUACAAUGGUACAUUAGCUGUUAGUUCACGUAGCACAGUGAAAAGGAAGAACAUAUYACGUGUCACCAUUGCCAAAAGACUGCUUUUCAUAGAAAUUUGAGUUGAUUUCCAAUUAAAGUAACUGUCAUUUGAUGAUUAUAACGAAAAUACAUAAAACUAAUGUUCUGUUUAUCAACUCUUUUGUUAGUUUUGUAAAAAAAAUAUGAUUUUUCAUUUUUAGAAAGGCCCAAAUUGAUUGUUUUUCAACGACCAUGUUAGCAUUUUUUUACCCAAUAAGUUUAAAAUGUGAUUUCAAUGCACAGUUUUCAUAACAUGUCAGAGAUGCACAAAAUAUAUUAUAGCGACAAGUAUGCAUGUUGCAAAGCAAAGCGUUUUGUAGAUAUACUAUAAAAAAUAAUAUGUAAAUUAGAUCACGAAAUAAUAUGACCUUGAAAAGUGUUGUUAAAAUAAAAUAAAAUCAUUCMGAUUAA